rnacentral:rRNA from 1 species
GACGAACGCUGGCGGCGUGCUUAACACAUGCAAGUCGAACGAAGUGGCUAACGGGUGAGUAAAGCGUAAUCAACCUGCCCUUCAGAGGGGGACAACAGCUGGACACGACUGCUAAUACCGCAUACGGAAGGAGGAGAUGGCGGCUGAUGAGCACGUUGGAGGGGUAACGGCCCACCAAGGCGAUGAUAAGUAGCCGGUCUGGGAGGAUGAACGGCCACAUUGGGACUGAGAAACGGCCCAGACUCCUACGGGAGGCAGCAGUGGGGAAUCUGCCGCAAUGGACGAAAGGCUGACGGAGCAACGCCGCGUGAGUGAUGACGGCCUUCGGGUUGUAAAGCUCUGUUAAUCGGGACGCGGUACCGGAAUAGAAAGCCACGGCUAACUACGUGCCAGCAGCCGCGGUAAUAC